rnacentral:rRNA from 1 species
UGGGGAAUAUUGGACAAUGGGGGCAACCCUGAUCCAGCCAUGCCGCGUGUGUGAAGAAGGCCUUUUGGUUGUAAAGCACUUUAAGCAGGGAGGAGAGGCUAAUGGUUAAUACCCAUUAGAUUAGACGUUACCUGCAGAAUAAGCACCGGCUAACUCUGUGCCAGCAGCCGCGGUAAUACAGAGGGUGCGAGCGUUAAUCGGAAUUACUGGGCGUAAAGCGAGUGUAGGUGGCUCAUUAAGUCACAUGUGAAAUCCCCGGGCUUAACCUGGGAACUGCAUGUGAUACUGGUGGUGCUAGAAUAUGUGAGAGGGAAGUAGAAUUCCGGGUGUAGCGGUGAAAUGCGUAGAGAUCUGGAGGAAUACCGAUGGCGAAGGCAGCUUCCUGGCAUAAUAUUGACACUGAGAUUCGAAAGCGUGGGUAGCAAACAGGAUUAGAUACCCUGGUAGUCCACGCCGUAAAACGAUGUCUACUAGCCGUUGGGGGUCCUUUGAGACUUUAGUGGCGCAGUUAACGCGAUAAGUAGACCGCCUGGGGAGUAC